rnacentral:rRNA from 1 species
GAGGAAUAUUGGUCAAUGGGCGCAAGCCUGAACCAGCCAUGCCGCGUGAAGGAUGACGGCGCUAUGCGUUGUAAACUUCUUUUGUACAAGAAGAAACACUUCUACG